UUAUAACCGGCGAUUUCCGAAUGGGGAAACCCAGUGUGUUUCGACACACUAUCAUUAACUGAAUCCAUAGGUUAAUGAGGCGAACCGGGGGAACUGAAACAUCUAAGUACCCCGAGGAAAAGAAAUCAACCGAGAUUCCCCCAGUAGCGGCGAGCGAACGGGGAGCAGCCCAGAGCCUGAAUCAGUGUGUGUGUUAGUGGAAGCGUCUGGAAAGGCGCGCGAUACAGGGUGACAGCCCCGUACACAAAAAUGCACAUGCUGUGAGCUCGAUGAGUAGGGCGGGACACGUGGUAUCCUGUCUGAAUAUGGGGGGACCAUCCUCCAAGGCUAAAUACUCCUGACUGACCGAUAGUGAACCAGUACCGUGAGGGAAAGGCGAAAAGAACCCCGGCGAGGGGAGUGAAAAAGAACCUGAAACCGUGUACGUACAAGCAGUGGGAGCCUCUUUAUGGGGUGACUGCGUACCUUUUGUAUAAUGGGUCAGCGACUUAUAUUCUGUAGCAAGGUUAACCGAAUAGGGGAGCCGAAGGGAAACCGAGUCUUAACUGGGCGUUAAGUUGCAGGGUAUAGACCCGAAACCCGGUGAUCUAGCCAUGGGCAGGUUGAAGGUUGGGUAACACUAACUGGAGGACCGAACCGACUAAUGUUGAAAAAUUAGCGGAUGACUUGUGGCUGGGGGUGAAAGGCCAAUCAAACCGGGAGAUAGCUGGUUCUCCCCGAAAGCUAUUUAGGUAGCGCCUCGUGAAUUCAUCUCCGGGGGUAGAGCACUGUUUCGGCAAGGGGGUCAUCCCGACUUACCAACCCGAUGCAAACUGCGAAUACCGGAGAAUGUUAUCACGGGAGACACACGGCGGGUGCUAACGUCCGUCGUGAAGAGGGAAACAACCCAGACCGCCAGCUAAGGUCCCAAAGUCAUGGUUAAGUGGGAAACGAUGUGGGAAGGCCCAGACAGCCAGGAUGUUGGCUUAGAAGCAGCCAUCAUUUAAAGAAAGCGUAAUAGCUCACUGGUCGAGUCGGCCUGCGCGGAAGAUGUAACGGGGCUAAACCAUGCACCGAAGCUGCGGCAGCGACGCUUAUGCGUUGUUGGGUAGGGGAGCGUUCUGUAAGCCUGUGAAGGUGUGCUGUGAGGCAUGCUGGAGGUAUCAGAAGUGCGAAUGCUGACAUAAGUAACGAUAAAGCGGGUGAAAAGCCCGCUCGCCGGAAGACCAAGGGUUCCUGUCCAACGUUAAUCGGGGCAGGGUGAGUCGACCCCUAAGGCGAGGCCGAAAGGCGUAGUCGAUGGGAAACAGGUUAAUAUUCCUGUACUUGGUGUUACUGCGAAGGG
rnacentral:rRNA from 1 species